UAGGCAUCUGUAGUGGAUAUCUACUUGGUGAAUAUGUUUUGUAAAUCCUGUCCACCCCGUGGAUGGGUAGUCGGCAAAACGUCGGACUGUCAUAAGAAUUGAAACGCUGGCACACUGUUGGGUCCUGAGGCAACACGUUGUGUUGUCACCCUGCUUGGUGGUGGGGUGUGGACUUUGACUUCUGGAUAGUGGUGCGAGCAUCA
rnacentral:misc_RNA from 1 species